GGGGGAGUGGCUUAGUGGGAAAGCACUUGCCUCAUAUGCAGGAGGCCCUGGGUUCAAUCCCCAGUGCUGCCA